rnacentral:rRNA from 1 species
AUACGGGGGGUGCAAGCGUUAAUCGGAAUUACUGGGCGUAAAGCGUACGUAGGCGGUUCGUUAAGUUAGAUGUGAAAGCCGCGGGCUUAACCUGGGAACUGCAUUUAAAACUGGCGAACUAGAGUUGAGUAGAGGGGAGUGGAAUUUCAGGUGUAGCGGUGAAAUGCGUAGAGAUCUGAAGGAACACCAGUGGCGAAGGCGACUCCCUGGACUCGAACUGACGCUGAGGUACGAAAGCGUGGGUAGCAAACGGGAUUAGAUACCCUAGUAGUCC